GCCUGGGUAGCUCAGUUGGUAGAGCAGUGGAUUGAAAAUCCACGUGUCGGUGGUUCGAACCCGCCCCCAGGCACCA
rnacentral:tRNA from 2 species